rnacentral:rRNA from 1 species
UACGUAGGGGGCAAGCGUUGUCCGGAUUUAUUGGGCGUAAAGAGCUCGUAGGCGGUUUGUCGCGUCUGCUGUGAAAACCCGAGGCUCAACCUCGGGCCUGCAGUGGGUACGGGCAGACUAGAGUGUGGUAGGGGAGACUGGAAUUCCUGGUGUAGCGGUGAAAUGCGCAGAUAUCAGGAGGAACACCGAUGGCGAAGGCAGGUCUCUGGGCCACUACUGACGCUGAGAAGCGAAAGUGUGGGGAGCGAACAGG